rnacentral:rRNA from 1 species
AUGCAUCUUCCUACUCUUCCUGAGAUCACGGUUAUCAUAACUAUUUAUUUGAGAUAUGCGAAGUGUUCCUUUGAUAGUAGAUGCAACUUGCAGCUAUUGUGGACAUUCGUUUGUUCGUGGGAAGUUUUGUCUCUUCCCUAUAGUCAAAGCUCAUGUGCAAUUUGGAGAAAAAUGCACACAUGCUAUCGCUGCAUUUGGUGGUUCCUUUUUUUAGCUAAAAAACCUGUCUUUGUUUUGCUCCUUUUUGUUCUCUGUUUAUUACUGUUAAUUGCUCAGAGCAUUGUUUCCAAAGUAGUCUUGAAUAAUUAA